AUUGAACGCUGGCGGCAGGCCUAACACAUGCAAGUCGAGCGGAUGAAGGGAGCUUGCUCCUGGAUUCAGCGGCGGACGGGUGAGUAAUGCCUAGGAAUCUGCCUGGUAGUGGGGGAUAACGUCCGGAAACGGGCGCUAAUACCGCAUACGUCCUGAGGGAGAAAGUGGGGGAUCUUCGGACCUCACGCUAUCAGAUGAGCCUAGGUCGGAUUAGCUAGUUGGUGGGGUAAAGGCCUACCAAGGCGACGAUCUGUAACUGGUCUGAGAGGAUGAUCAGUCACACUGGAACUGAGACACGGUCCAGACUCCUACGGGAGGCAGCAGUGGGGAAUAUUGGACAAUGGGCGAAAGCCUGAUCCAGCCAUGCCGCGUGUGUGAAGAAGGUCUUCGGAUUGUAAAGCACUUUAAGAUGGGAGGAAGGGCAGUAAGUUAAUACCUUGCUGUUUUGACGUUACCAACAGAAUAAGCACCGGCUAACUUCGUG
rnacentral:rRNA from 1 species